rnacentral:rRNA from 1 species
UACGAAGGGGGCUAGCGUUGCUCGGAUUGACUGGGCGUAAAGGGCGCGUAGGCGGUUCGUACAGUCAGACGUGAAAUUCCUGGGCUCAACCUGGGGGCUGCGUUUGAUACGUGCGGACUUGAGUGCGGAAGAGGGUCGUGGAAUUCCCAGUGUAGAGGUGAAAUUCGUAGAUAUUGGGAAGAACACCGGUGGCGAAGGCAGCUCGCUGGGACGGUACUGACGCUGAGACGCGAAAGCGUGGGGAGCAAACAGG